UCGAGAUCAGAGAGGAGUGCCAUACACCAGCCUGAAAGAGUAUUUGAUUAUCGUGAAAUAUCUGAGCUCGAGGCUGGCACAUGGCACAUGGCUCUUGAAUAACAUCCGAUGUGUCUCUCUUGUUUAUAAGAAUUUAAAACCCAUUCAAAGAUUGUGAUUUAUGCGUCCCUGGGGCUGUGAACAAGAAUGAAAGAGCCCAGGACAUUGAUGAAGACAAGGAAAGAAGACACCUGAGAAGAACAAGAAGUAUAAAAGUGACAGGUUGGAAUACAACCAUUUGGACAUUUUUUUUGUAGAUGAAAGUUUAUUUUACUGUAGAUGUGUAAUGAUCUUUAACUCAAUAUA